rnacentral:rRNA from 1 species
UACAGAGGUCUCAAGCGUUGUUCGGAUUCAUUGGGCGUAAAGGGUGCGUAGGUGGCGCCGUAAGUCGGGUGUGAAAUUUCGGAGCUUAACUCCGAAACUGCAUUCGAUACUGCGGUGCUUGAGGACUGGAGAGGAGACUGGAAUUUACGGUGUAGCAGGUGAAAUGCGUAGAGAUCGUAAGGAAGACCAGUGGCGAAAGGC